rfam:Fukomys damarensis contig99316, whole genome shotgun sequence.
AGCUCUAUAGGGGUCUAAUUUAUUUCCUAAACUUUUCUAUAGAAGGGUAUUUGGUGUUAUUAAAUAGUUAUUUUUCCAUUAUGCU